rnacentral:rRNA from 1 species
GGAGGAAAGUAGGGGAUCGCAAGACCUUGCGCUAAAGGAGCGGCCGAUGUCUGAUUAGCUAGUUGGUGGGGUAAAGGCUUACCAAGGCAACGAUCAGUAGUUGGUCUGAGAGGACGGCCAACCACACUGGGACUGAGACACGGCCCAGACUCUACGGGAGGCAGCAGUGGGGAAUUUUGGACAAUGGGCGAAAGCCUGAUCCAGCCAUGCCGCGUGAGUGAAGAAGGCUUCGGGUUGUAAAGCUCUUUUAGUCGGAAAGAAAGAGUUGCAAUGAAUAAUUGUGAUUUAUGACGGUACCGACAGAAAAAGCACCGGCUAACUACGUGCCAGCAGCCGCGGUAAUACGUAGGGUGCGAGCGUUAAUCGGAAUUACUGGGCGUAAAGGGUGCGCAGGCGGUCUUGCAAGUCAGAUGUGAAAGCCCCGGGCUUAACCUGGGAAUUGCGUUUGAAACUACAAAGCUAG